GAACCGUGCUAACGUUAUUCGGAAUCACUGGGCUUAAAGAGUGCGUAGGCGGCCUGGCAGGUUGGGUGUGAAAUCCCUCGGCUCAACCGAGGAACUGCGCUCAAAACCGCCAGGCUUGAGGGAGAUAGAGGUGAGUGGAACUGAUGGUGGAGCGGUGAAAUGCGUUGAUAUCAUCAGGAACACCGGUGGCGAAAGCGGCUCACUGGGUCUCUUCUGACGCUGAGGCACGAAAGCCAGGGGGGAGCGAACGGGAUUAGAUACCCCGGUAGUCCUGGCUGUAAACGAUGAGCACUGGAUCGAGGGACCCGUCCACAAUUCCUCGGUCGUAGCGAAAGUGUUAAGUGCUCCGCCUGGGAGUAUGGUCGCAAGGCUG
rnacentral:rRNA from 1 species